rnacentral:lncRNA from 1 species
GAGAGCAAAUCGGGUACCGUCCUAGGUCUUCGUAGCAACUCCGAUGUGUUGUUACUCUCUGAAUUCUGGCCGUGAAAUGACAGUGAUUUCUCCGAUAGCACCUUUCCUUUCCGGUGAUUCCUCGGAGGAGGCAUUUUAUGCUAUAUCCACGUAAGUAUUUGAAUGUUUUUUUGUUUGGUUACCUGAGAAUCGAAAAUCGAAUCUAACUGAACUGAAUUCGGUUCUUCGAUUUCUGUUCUUCAGAAAGAUGGAAAAAUCGAAUCAAAUUGAACUAAUUCGGUUCUUCGAUUUCUGUUCUUCAAAAAGAUAAGGAAAAAUCGAAUCAAAUUGAACUAAUUAAUCAAACUGAACUAAUUCGGUUUUUCGAUAUCUGUUCUUCACAAAGAUAGAAAAAUUGAAUCAAAUUGAACUAAUUCGUUUUUUCGAUAUCUGUUCUUCAGAAAGAUGGAAAAAUCGAAUUAAAUUGAACUAAUUAAUCAAAUUGAACUAAUUCGGUUUUUCGAUAUCUGUUCUUCAUAAAGAUAGGAAAAAUUGAAUCAAAUUGAACUAAUUCGGUUCUUUAAGUUUUGUUCUUCAUAAAGAUGAAAAAAUCGAACCAAAUUGAACUGUGAUUCGGUUCUUCAGUUUCUGUUCUUCAUAAAGAUGGAAGAAUCGAACCAAACUGAACUAAUUCGAUUUUUCAGUUUUUGUUCUUCGGAAACAUGAAAAAAUCGAACCAAACAGAACUACUUCGCCUCUUUGGUUUUUCAGUUCUUCAAAAUGAUUGGAAAAAUUGAACCAAACUCAACUAAUUCGAUUCAUCUGUUUCUAUUGUUAGUAAAGAUGGAAAAAUCGAACCAAACUGAACUAAUUCGGUUCUUCAGAAAGAUAAAAAAAAUCGAAUCAAACUGAACCAAUUCGAUUCUUUAGCUCGGUUACCCAAAAAAUAAAAAAAAUGGACCGAACUAAUUUGAUUCUUCGGUAACGGAGAAAUUUAAUAAAACCGAAUCGAAGAACUGAACAAAACAAGAGUGGCAGAAGUGUAAUUUAGAGGAGAUAGAGGGACUAAUAUUGAAAUGAAUUUUAAAACAAUGCAAUGAAGAAAAUGGUGGUGAGGAAUGCUCCUAUUUAUAUGAAGGAAAAAAAAUAAGAUAAAGAAGGUUUAUGAUAUUUCCAAUAUUGGGUGAAGUUUAACCUAUAAAUGGUAAUUAUGCUGUUAAUAAGGACAAAAGAAUUUUCUACACAAAAGAAAGAAGUGUCAAAAGGGCUGUAACAAGUAGUGGCGGAGUCAGGAUAUUCACGAAGGAAAUUCAUGAGGAAAUAUACGAACUAAUCAAAAGGGGUUCAACGUCUAAUAUAUAUACAUAAAAAAUAAUUUUAACUAUGUAUAUAUAGUAUAAUUUUUUGUCGAAAGAGGGUUUGAAUGAACCCCUCGGCAAAAGAUAGAUCCGCCACCGAUAACAAGUACUCCUAUUUGGUUAUUGAGCAUGUGAUUUUAGACAAAAAGAGGUCGUGGUAGACGUAAAUUAAGAUAAAAAUUAAAAGAGAGCAGAAUUUUAUCUCGCUUAUCCUUUUAUAUUAAUAGUCGUAGUGUUUGUUAGUAAUUUCUUGUCAUAUUGUGUAUUAACCUUUGAUUUUUUUCACUUUUGAUAACGAGACUAUUUCAUCGUUUAAAAUGUUUUAUCAUACUUUUUAUUGUAUUUUGAUAUGAUUCUUUCACUUUAGCAAUUUUUUUCAAUCUUUUUAUAUAUAUUUUUUGAGUUGGGGGUUUUAUCGAAAAUAACUUUAUUAUCUUUCAGGUAAGAAUAAGCUCUGUGUAUAUUCUUAUCAUUUUCAGAAUUUUACACACGGCAAACUGUUAUUGUUGAUUUGAGAUCGAUGUCAAUCUAAAAUUUUUGAACAAAUUUCAACUUUUAAAAUUUUGAUUUCAUUUCUCAAAUUUAUCUAAAAGGUAAAAUUUUAAUUUCUGAUUAAAAUUUUAUUGAGGUUCUCUUCUUUGCCACCUUUGCGCUAUGCGAUGCAUCUCUAAAAUUUAAAUAUAAUUUUAACUUCAAAUUACUUUCUACCUAUCAAAUUAUUACUUUCGUUUCAAAUUAUCCGUUUCAAAUUUUCUAAUUUUGAUUUUUCACUUUAUUUAUCUUUUUUCAUUUAUAUAAUUUUUUUUUUUCAUGUUUUACCUUUUACAUUGAUUACUUUUUCUUCAAAUUAAAAUGUAAAUAUCAUUUAAUAGGAGUAUUAUGAUAAAUUAGUUAUGUUAUUAAUUAUUUUUUUAAUCAAUUUGUCAUUUCAAUUUAGGACCAGUAGUUUGAGACGGAGGGAGUAUAGUAAAAAUUUGAGUGGGACCCAUACUAAAUGACAAGUGGCAAACGUCGGCAGUGCUUCGCGAGAGUACUUAACCGGUAUGUGGUAUAAAAACGCUUCAGUUAUGGCGGCUUUAUCAUCCACUAAAAUAAGGACACGUGUACUAUGGUAGUUACUAUGUAACGUUGGGGCUCGUUUGGUAGAGUGUGUAAGAAUAAUGCAAAAUAUAGUGUAUUGGUAAUGCUUGUGUUAGUUAUGUUUGCAUUAGUUAUGCUUGUAUUUUUCUUAUGCAGUGUUUUUCGAUGUAUUAAAAAAAACAUGAAUUACAUAAUUUCAAUUCUUUUUUUUUUAUAUAA